AGAGUUUGAUCAUGGCUCAGGACGAACGCUGGCGGCGUGCUUAACACAUGCAAGUCGAACGGAAAGGCCCCUUCGGGGGUACUCGAGUGGCGAACGGGUGAGUAACACGUGGGUGAUCUGCCCUGCACUUUGGGAUAAGCCUGGGAAACUGGGUCUAAUACCGAAUAGGACCGCAUGCUUCAUGGUGUGUGGUGGAAAGCUUUUGCGGUGUGGGAUGGGCCCGCGGCCUAUCAGCUUGUUGGUGGGGUAAUGGCCUACCAAGGCGACGACGGGUAGCCGGCCUGAGAGGGUGUCCGGCCACACUGGGACUGAGAUACGGCCCAGACUCCUACGGGAGGCAGCAGUGGGGAAUAUUGCACAAUGGGCGCAAGCCUGAUGCAGCGACGCCGCGUGGGGGAUGACGGCCUUCGGGUUGUAAACCUCUUUCAGUAUCGGCGAAGCUCCAGGAUUUUUCUUGGGGUGACGGUAGGUACAGAAGAAGCACCGGCCAACUACGUGCCAGCAGCCGCGGUAAUACGUAGGGUGCGAGCGUUGUCCGGAAUUACUGGGCGUAAAGAGCUCGUAGGUGGUUUGUCACGUUGUCUGUGAAAACUCACAGCUUAACUGUGGGCGUGCGGGCGAUACGGGCAGACUGGAGUACUGUAGAGGAGACUGGAAUUCCUGGUGUAGCGGUGGAAUGCGCAGAUAUCAGGAGGAACACCGGUGGCGAAGGCGGGUCUCCGGGCAGUAACUGACGCUGAGGAGCGAAAGCGUGGGGAGCGAACAGGAUUAGAUACCCUGGUAGUCCAA
rnacentral:rRNA from 1 species